rnacentral:misc_RNA from 1 species
GAUGAAGAACGCAGCGAAGUGCGAUAAGUAAUGUGAAUUGCAGAAUUCCGUGAAUCAUCGAAUCUUUGAACGCAUAUUGCACUCUCUGGCAUUCCAGAGAGUAUGCCUGUUUGAGGGUCAGUUAAAUAAAAAUCGGUUUUGUUGCUGCUUUUUUGUGGUGACAUUCCGGAAUUGGGUCGUCUUUACCCUUUGGUAUGAGUGACCUAAAAUUUUUACGUGAUUUUCGAACGUAUUUAAAUAUUUACUUACGUUUGUAAUAUCGAAUACUAGAUGCGAUCAUUUUCCAUGAUUCGCGUCCAUAAUUUUUCAUCUAAUGACCUCAAAUCAGGUAAGAGUACCCGCUGAACUUAAGCAUAUCAAUAAGCGGAGGA